rnacentral:pre_miRNA from 1 species
UAAGUACUCCCUCCGUUCGGAAUUACUUGUCGCGAAAAUGGAUGUAUCUAGAACUAAAAUACGUCUAGAUACAUCCAUUUCUGCGACAAGUAAUUCCGAACGGAGGGAGUACAUG